UUUUGCAUCAUUUUUCGUGCCGGAACCAAAUGCCCAAAAACACUCCCAAACAUGUUCUAGUGUAUAUUUAGGAAGAUUGCAUGCGUUCGUUGCGAAAAAAUCCACCCGAGUUUCGCUACCCGGCAAUAGUGCAUUCGGGUGCCGAAAUGCACCCGUUUUGCAUCAUUUUUCGUGCCGGAACCGAAUGCCCAAAAACACUCCCAAACAUGUUCUAGUGUAUAUUUAGGAAGAUUGCAUGCGUUCGUUGCGAAAAAAUCCACCCGAGUUUCGCUACCCGGCAAUAGUGCAUUCGGGUGCCGAAAUGCACCCGUUUUGCAUCAUUUUUCGUGCCGGAACCGAAUGCCCAAAAAUACUCCCAAACAUGUUCUAGUGUAUAUUUAGGAAGAUUGCAUGCGUUCGUUGCGAAUAAAUCCACCCGAGUUUCGCUACCCUGGCAAUAGUGCAGUCGGGUGCCGAAAUGCACCCGUUUUGCAUCAUUUUUCGUGCCGGAACCGAAUGCCCAAAAACACUCCCAAACAUGUUCUAGGGUCUAAUUAGGUAGAUUGGAUGCGUUCGUUGCGAAAAAAUCCACCCGAGUUUCGCUACCCGGCAAUAGUGCAUUCGGGUGCCGAAAUGCACCCGUUUUGCAUCAUUUUUCGUGCCGGAACCGAAUGCCCAAAAACACUCCCAAACAUGUUCUAGUGUAUAUUUAGGAAGAUUGCAUGCGUUCGUUGCGAAAAAAUCCACCCGAGUAUCGCUACCCGGCAAUAGUGCAUUCGAGUGCCGAAAUGCACCCGUUUUGCAUCAUUUUUCGUGCCGGAACCGAAUGCCAAAAAACACUCCCAAACAUGUUCUAGGGUCUAAUUAGGUAGAUUGGAUGCGUUCGUUGCGAAAAAAUCCAGCCGAGUUUUGCUACCCGGCAAUAGUGCAUUCGGGUGCCGAAAUGCACCCGUUUUGCAUCGUUUUUCGUGCCGGAACCGAAUGCCCAAAAACACUCCCAAACAUGUUCUAGUGUAUAUUUAGGAAGAUUGGAUGCGUUCGUUGCGAAAAAAUCCACGCGAGUUUCGCUACCCGGCAAUAGUGCAUUCGGGUGCCGAAAUGCACCCGUUUUGCAUCGUUUUUCGUGCCGGAACCGAAUGCCCAAAAACACUCCCAGACAUGUUCUAGGGUCUAAUUAGGUAGAUUGGAUGCGUUCGUUGCGAAAAAAUCCACCCGAGUUUCGCUACCCGGCAAUAGUGCAUUCGGGUGCCGAAAUGCACCCGUUUUGCAUCGUUUUUCGUGCCGGAACCGAAUGCCCAAAAACACUCCCAAACAUGUUCUAGUGUCUAAUUAGGUAGAUUGGAUGCCUUCGUUGCGAAAAAAUCCACCCGAGUUUCGCUACCCGGCAAUAGUGCAUUCGGGUGCCGAAAUGCACCUGUUUUGCAUCAUUUUUCGUGCCGGAACCAAAUGCCCAAAAACACUCCCAAACAUGUUCUAGUGUAUAUUUAGGAAGAUUGCAUGCGUUCGUUGCGAAAAAAUCCACCCGAGUUUCGCUACCCGGCAAUAGUGCAUUCGGGUGCCGAAAUGCACCCGUUUUGCAUCAUUUUUCGUGCCGGAACCGAAUGCCCAAAAACACUCCAAAAUAUGUUCUAGUGUAUAUUUAGGAAGAUUUGAUGCGUUCGUUGCGAAAAAAUCCACCCGAGUAUCGCUACCCGGCAAUAGUGCAUUCGAGUGCCGAAAUGCACCCGUUUUGCAUCAUUUUUCGUGCCGGAACCGAAUGCCCAAAAACACUCCCAAACAUGUUCUAGGGUCUAAUUAGGUAGAUUGGAUGCGUUCGUUGCGAAAAAAUCCAGCCGAGUUUUGCUACCCGGCAAUAGUGCAUUCGGGUGCCGAAAUGCACCCGUUUUGCAUCGUUUUUCGUGCCGGAACCGAAUUCCCAAAAACACUCCCAAACAUGUUCUAGUGUAUAUUUAGGAAGAUUGGAUGCGUUCGUUGCGAAAAAAUCCACGCGAGUUUCGCUACCCGGCAAUAGUGCAUUCGGGUGCCGAAAUGCACCCGUUUUGCAUCGUUUUUCGUGCCGGAACCGAAUGCCCAAAAACACUCCCAGACAUGUUCUAGGGUCUAAUUAGGUAGAUUGGAUGCGUUCGUUGCGAAAAAAUCCACCCGAGUUUCGCUACCCGGCAAUAGUGCAUUCGGGUGCCGAAAUGCACCCGUUUUGCAUCGUUUUUCGUGCCGGAACCGAAUGCCCAAAAACACUCCCAAACAUGUUCUAGGGUCUAAUUAGGUAGAUUGGAUGCGUUCGUUGCGAAAAAAUCCACCCGAGUUUCGCUACCCGGCAAUAGUGCAUUCGGGUGCCGAAAUGCACCUGUUUUGCAUCAUUUUUCGUGCCGGAACCAAAUGCCCAAAAACACUCCCAAACAUGUUCUAGUGUAUAUUUAGGAAGAUUGCAUGCGUUCGUUGCGAAAAAAUCCACCCGAGUUUCGCUACCCGGCAAUAGUGCAUUCGGGUGCCGAAAUACACCCGUUUUGCAUCAUUUUUCGUGCCGGAACCGAAUGCCCAAAAACACUCCCAAACAUGUUCUAGGGUCUAAUUAGGUAGAUUGGAUGCGUUCGUUGCGAAAAAAUCCACCCGAGUUUCGCUACCCGGCAAUAGUGCAAUCGGGUGCCGAAAUGCACCCGUUUUGCAUCGUUUUUCGUGCCGGAACCGAAUGCCCAAAAAUACUCCCAAACAUGUUCUAGUGUAUAUUUAGGAAGAUUGGAUGCGUUCGUUGCGAAAAAAUCCACCCAAGUUUCGCUACCCGGCAAUAGUGCAUUCGGGUGCCGAAAUGCACCCGUUUUGCAUCGUUUUUCGUGCCGGAACCGAAUGCCCAAAAACACUCCCAAACAUGUUCUAGUGUAUAUUUAGGAAGAUUGCAUACGUUCGUUGCGAAAAAAUCCACCCGAGUUUCGCUACCCGGCAAUAGUGCAUUCGGGUGCCGAAAUGCACCCGUUUUGCAUCGUUUUUCGUGCCGGAACCGAAUGCCCAAAAACACUCCCAAACAUGUUCUAGGGUCUAAUUAGGUAGAUUGGAUGCGCUCGUUGCGAAAAAAUCCACCCGAGUUUCGCUACCCGGCAAUAGUGCAAUCGGGUGCCGAAAUGCACUCGUUUUGCAUCGUUUUUCGUGCCGGAACCGAAUGCCCAAAAACACUCCCAAACAUGUUCUAGGGUCUAAUUAGGUAGAUUGGAUGCGUUCGUUGCGAAAAAAUCCACCCGAGUUUCGCUACCCGGCAAUAGUGCAUUCGGGUGCCGAAAUGCACCCGUUUUGCAUCAUUUUUCGUGCCGGAAACGAAUGCCCAAAAACACUCCCAAACAUGUUCUAGUGUAUAUUUAGGAAGAUUGCAUGCGUUCGUUGCGAAAAAAUCCACCCGAGAUUCGCUACCCUGGCAAUAGUGCAGUCGGGUGCCGAAAUGCACCCGUUUUGCGUCAUUUUUCGUGCCGGAACCGAAUGCCCAAAAACACUCCCAAACAUGUUCUAGGGUCUAAUUAGGUAGAUUGGAUGCGUUCGUUGCGAAAAAAUCCACCCGAGUUUCGCUACCCGGCAAUAGUACAUUCGGGUGCCGAAAUGCACCCGUUUUGCAUCGUUUUUCGUGCCGGAACCGAAUGCCCAAAAAUACUCCCAAACAUGUUCUAGUGUAUAUUUAGGAAGAUUGGAUGCGUUCGUUGCGAAAAAAUCCACCCAAGUUUCGCUACCCGGCAAUAGUGCAUUCGGGUGCCGAAAUGCACCCGUUUUGCAUCGUUUUUCGUGCCGGAACCGAAUGCCCAAAAACACUCCCAAACAUGUUCUAGUGUAUAUUUAGGAAGAUUGCAUACGUUCGUUGCGAAAAAAUCCACCCGAGUUUCGCUACCCGGCAAUAGUGCAUUCGGGUGCCGAAAUGCACCUGUUUUGCAUCGUUUUUCGUGCCGGAACCGAAUGCCCAAAAACACUCCCAAACAUGUUCUAGGGUCUAAUUAGGUAGAUUGGAUGCGUUCGUUGCGAAAAAAUCCACCCGAGUUUCGCUACCCGGCAAUAGUGCAUUCGGGUGCCGAAAUGCACCCGUUUUGCAUCAUUUUUCGUGCCGGAACCGAAUGCCUAAAAACACUCCCAAACAUGUUCUAGUGUAUAUUUAGGAAGAUUGCAUGCGUUCGUUGCGAAAAAAUCCACCUGAGUUUCGCUACCCGGCAAUAGUGCAUUCGGGUGCCGAAAUGCACCCGUUUUGCAUCAUUUUUCGUGCCGGAACCGAAUGCCUAAAAACACUCCCAAACAUGUUCUAGGGUCUAAUUAGGUAGAUUGGAUGCGUUCAUUGCGAAAAAAUCCACCCGAGUUUCGCUACCCGGCAAUAGUGCAUUCGGGUGCCGAAAUGCACCCGUUUUGCAUCAUUUUUCGUGCCGGAACCGAAUGCCUAAAAACACUCCCAAACAUGUUCUAGGGUCUAAUUAGGAAGAUUGCAUGCGUUCGUUGCGAAAAAAUCCACCCGAGUUUCGCUACCCUGGCAAUAGUGCAGUCGGGUGCCGAAAUGCACCCGUUUUGCAUCAUUUUUCGUGCCGGAACCGAAUGCCCAAAAACACUCCCAAACAUGUUCUAGGGUCUAAUUAGGUAGAUUGGAUGCGUUCGUUGCGAAAAAAUCCACCCGAGUUUCGCUACCCG
rnacentral:lncRNA from 1 species